rnacentral:rRNA from 1 species
UACGUAGGGGCCGAGCGUUGUCCGGAGUUAUUGGGCGUAAAGCGCGCGCAGGCGGCUUGGCGCGCCCGACGUGAAAGCCCCCGGCUUAACCGGGGAGAGUCGUCGGGGACGGCCGGGCUUGAGGGCGGGAGAGGGUGGUGGAAUUCCCGGUGUAGUGGUGAAAUGCGUAGAGAUCGGGAGGAACACCUGUGGCGAAGGCGGCCACCUGGGCCGACCCUGACGCUGAGGCGCGAAAGCUAGGGGAGCAAACGGG